CCGCGUGUGUGAAGAAGGCCUUCGGGUUGUAAAGCACUUUUAUCAGGAGCGAAAUACCAUCGGUUAAUAACCGGUGGGGCUGACGGUACCUGAGGAAUAAGCACCGGCUAACUCGUGCCAGCAGCCGCGGUAAUACGAAGGGUGCAAGCGUUAAUCGGAAUUACUGGGCGUAAAGGGUGCGUAGGCGGAUGUUUAAGUCUGUCGUGAAAUCCCCGGGCUCAACCUGGGAAUGGCGAUGGAUACUGGGCAGCUAGAGUGUGUCAGAGGAUGGUGGAAUUCCCGGUGUAGCGGUGAAAUGCGUAGGGAUCGGGAGGAACAUCAGUGGCGAAGCGGCCAUCUGGGACAACACUGACGCUGAAGCACGAAAGCGUGGGGAGCAAACAGGAUUAGAUACCCUGGUAGUCCACGCCCUAAACGAUGCGAACUGGAUGUUGGUCUCAACUCGGAGAUCAGUGUCGAAGCUAACGCGUUAAGUUCGCCGCCUGGGGAGUAAGGUCGCAAGACUG
rnacentral:rRNA from 1 species